AGAGUUUGAUCCUGGCUCAGAUUGAACGCUGGCGGCAGGCCUAACACAUGCAAGUCGAGCGGUAACACAGGGAGCUUGCUCCUGGGUGACGAGCGGCGGACGGGUGAGUAAUGUCUGGGAAACUGCCUGAUGGAGGGGGAUAACUACUGGAAACGGUAGCUAAUACCGCAUAACGUCGCAAGACCAAAGAGGGGGACCUUCGGGCCUCUUGCCAUCAGAUGUGCCCAGAUGGGAUUAGCUAGUAGGUGGGGUAACGGCUCACCUAGGCGACGAUCCCUAGCUGGUCUGAGAGGAUGACCAGCCACACUGGAACUGAGACACGGUCCAGACUCCUACGGGAGGCAGCAGUGGGGAGUAUUGCACAAUGGGCGCAAGCCUGAUGCAGCCAUGCCGCGUGUAUGAAGAAGGCCUUCGGGUUGUAAAGUACUUUCAGCGGGGAGGAAGGCGUUGUGGUUAAUAACCACAGCGAUUGACGUUACCCGCAGAAGAAGCACCGGCUAACUCCGUGCCAGCAGCCGCGGUAAUACGGAGGGUGCAAGCGUUAAUCGGAAUUACUGGGCGUAAAGCGCACGCAGGCGGUUGGAUAAGUUAGAUGUGAAAGCCCCGGGCUCAACCUGGGAAUUGCCUCACAUACUGCCAGGCUAGAGUACUGUAGAGGGGGGUAGAAUUC
rnacentral:rRNA from 1 species